rnacentral:rRNA from 1 species
GACGAACGCUGGCGGCGUGCCUAACACAUGCAAGUCGAGCGGAGGCAGCGGAAGAGCAAUCUGAGGCUGUCUGAGCGGCGGACGGGUGAGUAACGCGUGAGCAACCUGCCUUCCACAGGGGGAUAACGUACCGAAAGGUACACUAAUACCGCAUGAGACCACGGUACUGAUGGUACAGGGGUCAAAGGAGGAAUCCGGUGGGAGAUGGGCUCGCGUCCAAUUAGGUAGUUGGCGGGGUAAUGGCCCACCAAGCCUAUGAUCGGUAGCCGGCCUGAGAGGGUGAACGGCCACAUUGGAACUGAGAGACGGUCCAAACUCCUACGGGAGGCAGCAGUGGGGAAUAUUGGGCAAUGGGGGGAACCCUGACCCAGCAACGCCGCGUGAGGGAAGAAGGUUUUUGGAUUGUAAACCUCUGUUCUUGGAGAAGAGUGUAAGACGGUAUCCAAGGAGGAAGCCCCGGCUAACUACGUG